CUCUUUCGCCUGUGAUGAUAAUGACAGUAGCAGGUAAAGAAACCCCGGCUAACUCCGUGCCAGCAGCCGCGGUAAUACGGAGGGGGUUAGCGUUGUUCGGAAUUACUGGGCGUAAAGCGCACGUAGGCGGAUUAGAAAGUUAGAGGUGAAAUCCCGGGGCUCAACCCCGGAACUGCCUUUAAAACUACUAGUCUAGAGUUCGAGAGAGGUGAGUGGAAUUCCGAGUGUAGAGGUGAAAUUCGUAGAUAUUCGGAGGAACACCAGUGGCGAAGGCGGCUCACUGGCUCGAUACUGACGCUGAGGUGCGAAAGUGUGGGGAGCAAACAGGAUUAGAUACCCUGGUAGUCCACACCGUAAACGAUGAAUGCCAGUCGUCGGGUAGUAUACUAUUCGGUGACACACCUAACGGAUUAAGCAUUCCGCCUGGGGAGUACGGUCGCAAGAUUAAAACUCAAAUGAAUUGACGG
rnacentral:rRNA from 1 species